AUAAGAGACAGCAGCAGCCGCGGUAAGACGAACCGUGCGAACGUUAUUCGGAAUCACUGGGCUUAAAGCGCGUGUAGGCGGGACGGCACGUCGGUCGCUGAAAGCCCCCGGCUCAACCGGGGAACGGGCGCCGAUACGACCGUCCUGGAGGGACGUAGGGGGACCUGGAACUUCCGGUGGAGCGGUGAAAUGCGUUGAGAUCGGAAGGAACGCCCGUGGCGAAAGCGAGGUCCUGGACGUUUUCUGACGCUGAGACGCGAAAGCCAGGGGAGCGAACG
rnacentral:rRNA from 1 species